GGUGUAAGGAGGCCACGAGCCACGGCAUGUAGGUGACCUCGAAAAGAUGGGAGGGGAGGACACAGGUUCUCCCUAGAGCUCUGAGGAGGAACCCAGCCCCGCCAUCCCCCCUCAAAUCUAGCCCAGUGAGCCCCGAGUCAGACCUCUACCCUAUAGGACUUGUAAGAUGACGGAUGUAUGUUAUUUAAGCUGCUAAAUAUAUGGUGAUUUGUUUCAGCUGCAGCGGGGAGAGGACACACCAAGUUAUUCCUGUGUGUCCCACGUGCUGCCUUGGUGACUGAUCCCAGGUGCUCAGAACUGCCCGUGCUGUGCUUGGACACCCCACCAGCCCACACUGUGCUAACCCGAGGAGUGUGCGUUUCUCCAUCAGCUUGUCCAGGACUGCAUGACGCCACCAGCCAUCUCACUUCUCCCGGAGCUGCUGGUUAAGACUCCAGGGAUUUUUUUCAUCAGUGAAGGCUUUAGUUCUCUUAGGAUUGGGAGGCAGCUGGCCUUCGUGGCCUGCAGCUUUCGGGCUGCUCCUGUGGCUGACACAGCUCCAGUGGGUUCGGGAUUCUUCCCACGUUCCUGGACCACCACCAGUGCUCAAGGCUGGGCUUCUGCUUCCCACACGAUUCCUUCGCUUCAGACAACCAUCAGUAGCAACACAAGCAUCUGACCAGCCUGGAGAAAAAGAUGUGCCCGUGAGCCUCAUGAUGGGAAGGGCCUUUGUCACGCUGAGUUCUAAGCUCGGUGGCCAAUACUAUUCCAUGCCCUGGGGUUACAGCCGUCUGACCUCUCGCUGCCCUAAUUAUACUCUAGAAGGAACGACAGCUCCUUCUAGACAUCCAGCCACUAAACAACCAGAUAAUGCUUUUCUGCUGCUGGUACCUAGGAUUGAAUGCAAGAGGUUUGGAACUUUCCAGAAAAGAAUAUUGUUGUGUAUCACAGAGAGGGUACAAGAGGAAGCUCUCGGAUCGGACAGACUCAGGUGUCUCCAAGCCUAGAGGAAUCUGCGGAUCUGUGAAGGGGUUUUUGUGGUGUUCAUGACUCUCCUGCUGUCAGAUUUGCAGAAGAUAAAACAGAAAAAGGAAAGCAACUCCUCCCUUAUAUUAAAAAUAAAUAAGAUUUUAAAUUUCUAUUUAAGAGAGCU
rnacentral:lncRNA from 1 species